UGUCCCUGGAGAAUGCUGUAGACAACUUUAGCACUGUUUCCAUAUGUAGGAUCAUCGGCAUCAGUUGCAGUGACUUGCACAACAAAGAUUAGAAAUGUGAUUCUUGCAGCUUAACCAUCCGUCGCUCUCUGACAAAGAAAUCAAAAUGACCUCCAUAAGAAUCAGAAACAAAGAAUCAAAUCCCGUCAACUUCUCUGGAAAAGACCCAAUAUUAAAAUUAUAUUUCAAGAAA